AGUGAACGCUGGCGGUAGGCCUAACACAUGCAAGUCGAACGGCAGCACAGUAAGAGCUUGCUCUUACGGGUGGCGAGUGGCGGACGGGUGAGCAAUACAUCGGAAUCUACUUUUUCGUGGGGGAUAACGUAGGGAAACUUACGCUAAUACCGCAUACGACCUACGGGUGAAAGCAGGGGAUCUUCGGACCUUGCGCGAUUGAAUGAGCCGAUGUCGGAUUAGCUAGUUGGCGGGGUAAAGGCCCACCAAGGCGACGAUCCGUAGCUGGUCUGAGAGGAUGAUCAGCCACACUGGAACUGAGACACGGUCCAGACUCCUACGGGAGGCAGCAGUGGGGAAUAUUGGACAAUGGGCGCAAGCCUGAUCCAGCCAUACCGCGUGGGUGAAGAAGGCCUUCGGGUUGUAAAGCCCUUUUGUUGGGAAAGAAAAGCAGCAGGUUAAUACCCCGCUGUUCUGACGGUACCCAAAGAAUAAGCACCGGCUAACUUCGUG
rnacentral:rRNA from 1 species